UACGUAGGUGGCAAGCGUUGUCCGGAAUUAUUGGGCGUAAAGCGCGCGCAGGCGGUCCUUUAAGUCUGAUGUGAAAGCCCACGGCUCAACCGUGGAUGGUCAUUGGAAACUGGGGGACUUGAGUACAGAAGAGGAAAGCGGAAUUCCACGUGUAGCGGUGAAAUGCGUAGAGAUGUGGAGGAACACCAGUGGCGAAGGCGGCUUUCUGGUCUGUAACUGACGCUGAGGCGCGAAAGCGUGGGGAGCAAACAGG
rnacentral:rRNA from 1 species